rnacentral:lncRNA from 1 species
AGGUGCUGUAAGAAAACUGCCCAUGGCUCCUUUCCCAGCAUAAUAAGCAGAAACAUUGAGGAUGCCAUUGGAAUUAGUGUCAAAAGUGACUUCAAUCUGAGGAACACCUCGGGGUGCAGGAGAGAGCCCCACCUGGAAGACUCUAGGUUCUCAUCUUCAUGCCCCGAUGUAAGGAGAGUGGUCCUUCUGUACAUCAGGAGUCUGAAAUGCAUCUCACUGGGCUAAAAUCAAGAUCUGUGGCACAUGGAACCACAUGUGGGACAAGAGACUAAUAAAGAUGUGACCUACUCACAGAGGCUUCAGGUGUUUUGCGAAGUACAUUGGCUUUUAUUCAACGUGCAGUGGGACUCCAACUAAAGUGUUUCAGGAAGGUACAACCUACAUGACAUGUUUUUCCUAAAGACAAUGCCUCCACUCCGAGUAAGUCACAGUCAAAGUAAAUGAAGAGCCCAAGAUGACAUCAGUUCCAUUUGUCGCACGGCCCUUUUGUGAUCUCCUGGUUCUUGUAAAUCUCACUGUGGCUGAUGAGGUCUGGAUAGAUAAUCAUGAUGGUGGCUGAAGAGAGACAAUGGUGGUGCUAGGUUACCAGUGGCGUGGAGCUCAGAGCUAAUGCAGAGCAGCUGGAGCAGUGCUGAGUUUCAAAACGUGUUGGAAAAAAUAUUAUAUGAAUGAUGCUAUUUUUUUCACUGAAUCACAUCAAGAAGCACAUGAUGUUAAGCUGUCUCAUCAUUGGUGGUGUUAACUUGGAUCGCUUGAUUAAGGUGAUGCCUUUCAUAUUUAUAUACUACAAAGUUAGCCCUUUUUAAUCAAUAAGUAAUCUAUUCAGAGAUAAAUGAGAACUGCAUAAAUAUCUUGGUAACAAACAAGUUUUACCCAAUAUUGUUUUCCUCCAUUGAUGAUUCUUGCCUUAAUCAAUUAUUACCAUGACAGUAGCAAAAUAGUGAUAUUUUAGUUAUCAUUUCUUGUACAUGUAUUAGUUUUACAUAGUAAACAAAAGCGUUUCCUCCUCUCAUUUUCUCUUUCUCUCCCUUCUUUCCAUCCAUUCUUCCUUCCUUUCUAUUUCUGUCUGUCUCUGUCUCUGUCUCUGUGCCUCUCUGUCUCCUUUGCCCUUCUCAUUGUCCGUUUUUAUUUAUAUUUCUUAAUGUGUGGAUUCAUAAACUAUUCUUUUCAAUUGCAUUAUAAUCUGUUACUGUCAUUUUUUAUUGUACCAGAUUUAGCGAGUAUGAGCUAACAAUUUCUAAUUUUAAUCCAACAUUUUAAAUCACAUGGUCUUCUUCAUCUUCUCUGUUUACAUAUUCGUAUUUACUUCCUUUCACAAUCAUAAUCUUGCCUCCCUCCCCCAAAGGAAUAUAUUUUCUUCUAUGGGACACCAAAGAUAAUAGAUUUUAAUUUAGUUUUAGAGUUUUCCAAAAUGUUUGUUGAUUUAAUUUUAUUUUUGAUUAUGUAUUAAUUGAACAUGCUUCCAGUUUUCAAAAUUAUAUGAAAUGAUAUAUACAGAGAAUUGCCACUCAAUCUUCUCUUCUUCCCAUAUUAUUGUCACUUCUUGCCUGUGGUUAACCAAUUUCACUGGAUUCUGGUUAUCCUUGCGUUUAUUUUUUAAAAUAUGUAAGUUAUAUGUUAUUAUAUAUGUUUUUCCCUUAAAAUUUUUCCUGAUAAUCCAUAUCGGGCCAUAGAGAUCUCCUUUAUUACUUCCUGCAUAGUAAUCCAUUGUGUAUAUAUAUUAGGUUGGUGCAAAAGUCGUUGCAGUUUUUGCAAUUACUUUUAAUGGCAAAAACUGCAAUUACUUUUGCACCAACAUACAUCGUUUAGCCCGAGAACUACUCACUCUGGGUCUCCUCUCCACUGAGGGCUGCACACAUGCCGGGAUGACCUGCCUGUGGAAAGGAGCUACAACUUCAGGUCUCCUGAGAGCUGUAGGUAGGUUAGUUUUGCAUCGUUGAUUUAAGCAAUUUUCUAUGUAUGGGCGUUUACAUGGUAUCCAAUAAUUUGUUAUAUAACACAUAAUAUCCCAAUGCAUGAAGGCACAAAUAUGUAUUUUCUUGCUGUUGGUGGUGUAUGUUGGGGGUGAAUUCCUAAAGUGAUAUUGUUUGGUCAAAAGUUAAAUGUAUAUGUAGUUUUGGGUUACUAUUGGUAACUUUCCUUCCAUAGGAUUUGUACCAUUUUGCUUUCCCAUUAGCAAUGUGUAGGAAUGCCUGUUUCCCUGUAGCCUCCCCAACAGCUUGUGUUAUCAAGAUUUUGGAUAUUUAACAAACUUGAAGCCUUUUAGAGUUUUCUCAGGCUGAGAGCAAGCAGAGUUCAGGAGCCUGUAAGGAAAAUAGAA